AUAGCUCACUGGUAGAGCACAUGCUUAGCACGCACGGGAUCCUGAGUUCAAACCUCAGU
rnacentral:tRNA from 1 species